GAAAGCGCUCAGAAAACAAAGCUGAGUGGAGAGAUUACCGAGGAGCAGGGGGUGAAAUUGCAGACAGAGCAAUCAGUACCGUGGAGGAGGGGCAAGAAAUCUGCUCUUCAGCCCUUCAGAAGAGCGAGACUCGGAACUCUGAAAAGACAUUUAACAUCAGGCUAUUUGUGAAUAUGUAGACAAUAGGUGUUGUCUCACUUCCACUCCAGUUGACCUUUCCUGGUCCAGAUCUCAGAUGUGGCUGAAAGAGGAGGGCGAGGAGCGGCAAAGAGUAGACUGAAUCAGUAAGUGAAUGUUGAACAGGAUGAAAUCAGACUACAUAACCUGCCAUUGACGAAUGGUCAAGAACACAGAUGCUGGAGACACUCCGGAGUCCUCAUCCGAGCUCUGCCCAUGGCCAGCUGUGUGGGCCUCACCUUCUGAACUGGGAGGCUACAUUGUCCUGACGCAGCACGGAGCACCUAGCCCGGAUGGUGGAGGGCGUGCUGUGGGGAUAGAUGACUCUACAAAGAAGGACAAGAUAACAAAGGAUGAAGCCUGGAAUCUGUCUGUGAGCUCCAGGAACUCCAGAAGCUGCUGAAGCUGCAGAUUUUGGUGUCAUUGACCUGCCUUCCUUCUUUAUUUGGAGGUUGAUGAAUCCUUGGGGAGAAGUGUCUGCAAACCUGAUGGAGAGCCAGAAAAUAGAGCUUCUGUGAACAGCAGCCUUUGGACACCUGAUUUUUCUGAAAGAUAGGCUCUUGAUCAGGCAAGCAGGGGCUUAAUGAUUUAUGCCUUUAUGCUCAACUUCAGAUAAAGUUAGACUAAAUCCUAAAGCAUAUAUAGGAGGAAAAGCUAUUACAGCACUUUGCUUGUCAGAGAUAAAUUCUAAAAAGAAUAAAAAAGAGACAUAUUAUUAAAUAGCUUGCAUUCGAAAUGGUUUUCAAAUUUCAGCAACCUGGGAAUAAUGAAAAAAAUAGAAGAGAGGGUCUCAAAACACUUGGUGGGCAUCAUCCUCUUCUACCAAGCUUUCUUUUUAUUUAACAUCAAGCCCAGAGUUUUAUUCUGCAUUUGUAUUUUAAAACCAAAAUGAAUGAAAAAAAUAGCAUUGCUAAGGUUUGGAAGACACAUAAGAUUAUUUUAACCUCUCAUUGCCUCUUUGCCAAAAACGAUUGUGUUUUAAUAACCCAAAUAAGAGAUGAUUCAAGAUCCCUCCUUGGGAUUAGAAAUAAAAUUAAGAGACUAAGUUAAAUAUCAGAUCAUUCUAGAGUACCUGAGAGGUUCUGCUAAUUUUGUAAUUGGUUAGUCACUUCAUUUAGAUUCUGUAAAAUACUUUUACCUUCAUGUCUGUUCCAAUUCUACCUUAUCCUGUAAGACUUGGUACAGGUGAAGAGGCAUCUCUUUGAAUGGAGUUUUCCCUGAUAGAGCAGACCUUGGUACUCUCAGAUCUCAGAUGCCCUCAGAUCUCUUCACCAGUUCUAUGUGUUUUAAUUUGGUUUCAGGGUGUUCUUUCUUCUGAUCGCAGACACCUGCAGUUUCUUUCGAGGACUUUCCUCAGGCUACUGAAGCCACUUGGCCUGCAUGUUCAAGAUGCCCUGCAGAGAGCUGGAGUGCCUGGGUGCUUAUCUGUCCUUUUAGAGGCCCUUGCCAAUGAGUGGCUGGUGCAGAGGUGUGGAAGCUCAUCACUUCUGCCUUGGACAAGCUACAAAGGAUUAAUUUACAUCCCAGACAUUCUAUGCAGAAUGUUCUGUGAGACUUUGAAAUACUAUCUAAGCUUGGCUUCUUCUCCUUCCCUGUCCUGUUUUGUUCAUUCCUUAGUAGUUCUCUCUGAGAGCACUUUAAUAAUGCAAAUCUUAUCUCAAGGCCCGAUUCUGGGGAACUUGACCUAAAACACAACUUUUACCUUUUGUUUGCAUUUUAAUAGCAAUCUCUAUAUGGUUGAACACUGGUAAUUGACUUGUUCUCUUUUCACUUCAAUGAGAUUGUGAUCUCUCUGAGGGUGGCUGGGAUCUUAUGUAGGGCCCACUAGUUUUACUUUGUUGUUUUAUUUCCCAUCUAUUUCUUUUUUAAAGAUUUUAUUUAGUUACUUUUAGACAGAGGGAUGAAAGGAAGAGUAACAUCAAUG